AAAUCCAGAUUGCUGUCGGGUCCCAGUCAAAAUCUGGCAUCCAUUACUGAGCAGGUUGAGGUGGGACCCUGAGGUAGUGAAGCCCCUGGAAGCUCAGGUCUCUAUACUAGCACCCACGUAGGACAAGCUAAGAAAAUAAGGAAAAUCAUUUGCUUUACUUUUUCCCCCCUCUCAUGUGAUCUUUUUUUUGGACUUGGCACAAGAACUAUUUUGGGGCUGGACAUGAGCCCAGGUGAAAGGACAUGGAUUUCAUCCAGUCUGCCUCCCCCAUGUGCUUGGAGGGCUCCAGGGAGCUUUGAACAGCUGCCGUGAUGAUGGGCUUAAAAGCUUCUCAGUUAGGUGUGGUGUUCUCACUGAUUCUUUCCUAUUGUCUGGUGUAACCCUCGAGCAGCAAAGCCAUUUUUCUCCCCGAACAGCUGCGCUGUGGUCAGAGAUGGUUUGUGAUGAGUGGAACUGCAAUUUGUACAUCGCCCUGAAUUCACAUGGGACUUGCUCUCCCUCCACAUGCAGUUUCCUUAUUUGCCAGUACACUAUAAACCAGUUUUGCUUUGUAUUCUCAAUGUACUAUGCAUACGGCAGGGCCUCAGUAUGAAGCAGGAUUGCUUGAGUUCUUGUAAAUGAUAUGACAGGAAUGCUGUGUGGAAGCCAAAGGCAAAUAUCUAACAGGCCAUUAGGACUAAUGGUCAACAACUUGUCAAACACUGGCACCUGCAGUCUAACAAGCUGCAUUGCUUCAGUCCGUGAACCUACCUGUUUCCUGCCCGGAAUACCAGCGGUAGGAGGCAAAGCUGUUCAGUCACUCAGAGAGCACAGAGCUGGCAAAGCCCUGUCAGAUGUUGGAGGUUUUGAAAGACAGUGUGUUUGUGAAAGACAAUGGUGUUUGUGGAAUUGCUUCUCUCUUGCUCUCGGAGGCCCAUUGACAGCUGAACAAGAGGAGGGUUUGCUUUUGUCACGGUGCUCAAGAGCCUAUUUGCUACAAUAAGAAUAGCUGGCACAUCUGCAGUGCCCUACAGCUGAGGGCCUUGAUGCCUUUUGAAAACACUGAUUAAUGAAACUUCAACACCCCUCUGAAGCCUCAGUCAAUGCAGUUCCCUUUGGUACCCCUGGUAAGUGUCCUUUUUACAGAGGGGGAAACUGAGGCACAGAUUGGUGACUUGAGCUGCCCAUG
rnacentral:lncRNA from 1 species